CUUGGCAAUACAAGGAAAUUGGAAAAUUAAAACUUGAAAAAGUUAUUGAGGGGCUAAACGAGGCACCUAUGAGUACAUAAAUUUUGAGUUAGAAAUGGUAGUACACUAAAAUAUUUAUUGCUUCAUCUGAAUAAGUAAAUAUUUUUAAUUGUAGACCAAUUAAUCAUUUACCAAUUUUAGUUGUAUACAUAUAAUAACACGACGCUUCUCUUAAAUAAGUUCCAUUCCAAGCUGACAAUGAAUCUCUCUGCUGCUCCUACAAACAACAUUGGCUAUGGAGAUAACAAGAUGAUUCCACUCAUAAAAAUUUUAAAGCCACAGAUGCAAAGAAGUGGUAGCCGCCAUUCCUUUCCAUACAGUUGCGGAUACAAAAAUUGGAGCCAAUUAGAGCGGUCGGUGACCGUUGACCACUCGAUUGUUGCAUUAAUGAAAUCGUUUAUUAAUAUUUAAACAAAUAAUAUUAAACAAUUCAAUUAAUAUAUAAAUGCUCUAAAACGUAAAUCAAAUAUUAACUAUCAUCGAGUUGCUUUUCCAAAAUCACCAAUUUUCACAAAUACUAACAGAUUCCAUAGGUCCACAGAUACUAACAAAAUCCUCAAUUUUCACGAAUUUCAUAGUCCACGUAUAUGAUAUCGCAUAUUCGAAAUUCACGAAGCCCAAAAUUUUCAUAAAUACUAUCAGCAGGCUCACAACUCACUAAGUUACAGACAAACUCACAGUAAAUGCUCAUAAAAACAUAAAUUCAUAAAUCAUAAUUGACUAUUUUAACUGAUAACUCAUAAUUUUAUAAAUAAUAAAUCAAUAAACCAAAUAGACUAACAACAACAAAAAAAAUAAAAUAAUAAUAAUAAUAAUUGAAGAGAGACAAGAGGUUCACCGCUCACGUCCCGCUAUUACGAAUGGAAUCAGUUACCGGCGAUGCAGUGGCCGAUGGCUCAACUUCAACGACUCCACAGUGGCUUAGCAUGUGUGCUAGCAGCAGAGGAUUGGGUUUGGAAAUUGGAAUUGGAUGGAAUUGUUUAAUUAUGGGUUUUAAGUGCCGAGGGCAUCUCUGUGAUUUGUGAAUUGAAUAAAACCAGCAAGUCAAGCGGGUUUUGCAUCUUCAAUCCAUUGGAUUGAGUAAUUGGGUCUAUUUUUAUUUUUAAUAAGAGGCCCAAAAGAAAAAGGCGCACAACUUAAAAAAAAAUAAAAAUUGGCCCAAAUGAGUUUUAUUCGUCUUCAAAAUCAUUCAUUCUUCUGGGCGGCUGCACCUACAUUUCAACCUUCAAGCUCAGUCCAUACAAGGGCGGACCCACAUGGGGUCACGUGGGAUCAAAUGACCCCACAGUUUUCUGGAUUUUUUUUUUUGCUGAAAACUUAAUUUUUUGUCUCAAAAUGUCCAUAUCCUAAAUCUAUAUCAAUAUCACAUGAUCCAUAUCCAUUAUUUAGUCCAUAGAUAUAUCGUAUAAUCCAUUAAUUUCUUCCCAAAAUGCAAACACCGAACAUGAACAAUAAAAAAUCGAUUUUUUCUUUUUGUUCAUGAUACGUUGUUCGAAAAAAAUAAAAUUUGACCCCACAGUUCGAACUGUUUGGGUCCGUCCCUGUGUCCAUAGCGAAGCGACGACUGUAGGUUCUUGCGAAGCACUGUUUCCACAUCGAUUCCUGAGUCUUAGGAGGGAAUGCUGACAUCAAAUAUGGAAAGAACAAAGCUUAACCCUUGCUAUUGNUUCUCAAAUUCACGAAGCCCACAAUUUUCAUAAAUACUAUCAGCAGGCUCACAACUCACUAAGUCACAGACAACCUCACAGUAAAUGCUCAUAAAAACAUAAAUUCAUAAAUCAUAAUUGACUAUUUUAACUGAUAACUCAUCAUUUUAUAAAUAAUAAAUCAAUAAACCAAAUAGACGAACAAAAACAGAAAAUAAUAAUAAUAAUAAUUGAAGAGAGACAAGAGGUUCACCGCUCAUGUCCCGCUAUCACGAGUGGAAUCAGUUACCGGCGAUGCAGUGGUGUAGCGCUGCAGUGGCCGAUGGCUCAACUUCAACAACUCCACAGUGGCUUAGCAUGCGUGCUAGCAGCAGAGAAUUGGAUUUGGAAUUUGGAAUUGGAUGGAAUUGCUUAAUUAUGGAUUUUAAGUGCCGAGUGCAUCUGCGUGAUUUGUGAAUUGAAUACAACCAGCAAGUCAAGCGGGUUUUGCAUCUUCAAUCCAUUGGAUUGAGUAAUUGGGUCUAUUUUUAUUUUUAUUUUUAAUAAGAGGCCCAAAAGAAAAGGCGCACCAAAAAAAAAAAAAAAAGAGAGAGGCCCAAAUCACUUUUAUUCAUCUUCAAAUUCAUUCAUUCUUCUGGGCGGCUGCACCUGCAUUUCAACCUUCAAGCUUUGUCCAUAGCGAAGCGACGACUGUAGGUUCUUGCGAAGCACUGUUUCCACAUCCAUUCCUGAGUCUUAGGAGGGAAUGCUGACAUCAAAUAUGGAAAGAACAAAGCUUAACCCUUGCUAUUGCUAUAAAAUAAAUUAGGGUUAAGCUUUGUUCUUCCCAGAUCCAAUGUCGGCAUUACCUCCAAAGUCUUCGGGAGAGGUGGUGUGGCAAACAACCGCCUCCAUCAAUUCUUUCUGGUCGUGGCACUUGAGUAGUUUUAGAAGGAACCAUUUUCUUAUCUCCAUCAUCAAUGUUUUUCAUGUAGUAGAGAGGUUUUUGGAAGCACGAAAACUCUGCCAAAGUCUCUUGUAUUCUCAUGGUGGUGGGAGGAAAAAUUUAUAGUGAAG
rnacentral:lncRNA from 1 species